AAUAGCCAUUCAUCUGAACAUUUUGCCGGCGACGCAGAACGUUGAAAAAACAUGCUCCUUUCCACUUUUAAGAGUUAGCGCUAUCUUCUUCAAAUGUAUCUUUGUCUCUCCCUAUAAUUUUAAUGUCCCAUCAUUGAAAAAAAUCGCAAUAAUUCUCAUUUUCUUUCCUAUAAUUCCUAUAAUUAGGACACCCAUAAAAUGAUCUUCUCCUACUAUUAGGUUGAAAGAAAACUCUUAAAACAGCUACUUCAUUACAGUUGCCGCAAACAACCCGCUUGCUGAUUGCACUUCUCAUACUAAAUGACAAUAGUUACCUACAUAAAUAAAUCAAUUAGUUACGCCUAAAAAAUAUAAUUGCUUUCAGAAAAAAAUUUAUUUUUAA
rnacentral:lncRNA from 1 species